rnacentral:lncRNA from 1 species
UAGAGACAGGGCAUUGCUAAGUUGCUAAUUUGCCUAGCUAGGCUCAAACUUUUGAUCUUCCUGCCUCAACCUCUCAGAGGGCUUGGGACUACAGGCAGGUGCCAGCUCACCUGCCUUGGAUUUUUGAGACAAUGUCUCACUACGUAGUCCAGGCUGGUCUUGAACUUGCUAUGUAGCCAAGUGGGCCUGGAACUUGUUAUCCUCCUGCCUCAGCCUGCUAUGUACUGGGAUUACAGCCAGCUCCUAUGGCAAAGAAUUCUAGAAUAAUCUGUGGAAGACAUAUGCUCCAACCAACAGCCAGAACCAGCUCUAAGACCUGUGAACGAAGGCAUCGGAGACCAACAAUCCUCCAGUAAAACUGUUAACUGACUGAAAAUACAUGAGUGAGUGGCUGACACCAGGUAGAACAGAACUGAGCUGCCUCUGUGACGCUCAGCCCAAACUGUUAACCUACAACACCAUAAAAACAUAAAUAAUUAUUUUAAGUAACUAAAUUUUAGGUAGUUUGUUAUAAAACAAAGCUAGCUGGAAUAAAUAUUUGAGUUUGAGUAGCUGGGAAUGGCUCUACUUGCUUAGUGGACUGGCUGAAACCUGGACUAAAUGAUAGGCUACAUUCAAUGAUAUCGAGUCACCAGAAGUCCUCUGGAAGAAAGUACAUGAGAGAUUCUAAAGGCAAUGGCCAUCGUGGUUCAUGCCUGUAAUCACAGCACUUGGGAGGCCGAGGCAGGAGGAUUGCUAUGAGUUUGAGGCCAGCCUAGGCUACAUAGUCUAAUGCUAGCCUGGCAUAUAUAGCAAGACCCUAUCUGGGAGAAAAAGAGGGAGGGAGGGAAAAGAAAGGGAGAAGGGAGGGGAGAGAGAGAGAGAGAGAGAGAGAGAGAGAGAGAGAGAGAUCGAUCUCAUUGGGCUCUGGAAGGGUCUAAGGUAUAGUUUUUUCCCUAAAGCUCUGUGGACUUGGGGAAGGGGAACCCUAGCAACCUUGCACAGUGCUUUCUGUAGACUGUUUUGUGUAGGCCAAGGAGGAUGACAGGCGGAGAUGAUUUCAGCAGAGACGAUGAGAGCCCUUUACCCACAGGAAUCUUUGUUGGUGGUUAGCUUUAAGAAAUAAAUAGAUGGGUAACCUACCAAAGCAUUACUUGAUCUGUAGAACAGAAACCAGACCUGACUUAUACCUUGAGAACUGCAGCUUCUUCCUCAAUUACAAAAUUG